rnacentral:rRNA from 1 species
UACGGAGGGUGCAAGCGUUAUCCGGAUUUACUGGGUUUAAAGGGUGCGUAGGUGGGUAGGUAAGUCAGUGGUGAAAUCUUCAAGCUUAACUUGGAAACUGCCAUUGAUACUAUUUAUCUUGAAUACUUUGGAGGUAAGCGGAAUAUGUCAUGUAGCGGUGAAAUGCUUAGAUAUGACAUAGAACACCAAUUGCGAAGGCAGCUUACUACACAGUUAUUGACGCUGAGGCACGAAAGCGUGGGGAUCAAACAGG